GACGAACGCUGGCGGCGUGCCUAAUACAUGCAAGUCGAACGAGUGGCGGACGGGUGAGUAAUGUCUGGGAAACUGCCUGAUGGAGGGGGAUAACUACUGGAAACGGUAGCUAAUACCGCAUACCAUCAGAUGUUCCCAGAUGGGAUUAGCUUGUUGGUGGGGUAACGGCGCACCAAGGCGACGACCCCUAGCUGGUAUGAGAGGAUGACCAGCAAAACUGGAACAGAGACACGGUCCAAACUCCUACGGGAGGCAGCAGUGGGGAAUAUUGCACAAUGGGCGCAAGCCUGAUGCAGCCAGGCCGCGUGUAUGAAGAAGGCCUUCGGGUUGUAAAGUACUUUCAGCGGGGAGGCGUUACCCGCAGAAGAGGCACCGGCUAACUCCGUGCCAGCAGCCGCGGUAAUAC
rnacentral:rRNA from 1 species